rnacentral:rRNA from 1 species
AGCAGCCGCGGUAAUUCCAGCUCCAAUAGCGUAUAUUAAAGUUGCUGCAGUUAAAAAGCUCGUAGUUGAAUUUCGGGACCAUCAUGUCGGUCGUGCCUCGGUACGUACUGGCAUUGUUGGUUUCUCCCUUCUGACGAACCAUGAUGUCAUUAAUUUGGUGUCAUGGGGAAUCAGGACUGUUACUUUGAAAAAAUUAGAGUGUUUAAAGCAGGCUCACGCUUGAAUACAUUAGCAUGGAAUAAUGAAAUAGGACGUUUGAUUCUAUUUUGUUGGUUUCUAGGAUCGACGUAAUGAUUAAUAGGGAUAGUUGGGGGCAUUAGUAUUCAAUUGUCAGAGGUGAAAUUCUUGGAUUUAUUGAAGACUAACUACUGCGAAAGCAUUUGCCUAAGGAUGUUUUCAUUAAUCAAGAACGAAAGUUAGGGGAUCGAAGACGAUCAGAUACCGUCGUAGUCUUAACCAUAAACUAUGCCGACUAGGGAUCGGAUGAUGUAAUUUUUAAUGA